UCGGGAAUUUUGGGCAAUGGGCGAAAGCCUGACCCAGCAACGCCGCGUGAGGGAUGAGGUAUUUCGGUAUGUAAACCUCGAAAGAAUGGGAAGAAUAAAUGACGGUACCAUUUAUAAGCUCCGGCUAACUACGUGCCAGCAGCCGCUGUAAUACGUAGGGAGCAAGCGUUGUUCGGAUUUACUGGGCGUAAAGGGCGCGUAGGCGGCGCGGUAAGUCACUUGUGAAAUCUCUGAACUUAACUCAGAACGGCCAAGUGAUACUGCUGUGCUAGAGUGCGGAAGAGGCAACCGGAAUUCUUGGUGUAGCGGUGAAAUGCGUAGAUAUCAAGAGGAACACCUGAGGCGAAGGCGGGUUGCUGGGCCGACACUGACGCUGAUGCGCGAAAGCCAGGGGAGCAAAC
rnacentral:rRNA from 1 species